rnacentral:ncRNA from 2 species
CGAAUCCGCGCGGGAGAGUCCCGGCCAUGUGCCUGCCGCACCGCGGCACGCCGCAUGCCGGGCGCCGAAGGAGCAAGUUCCUCCCUUGAAUCUCUCAGGCCCCGUACCGCGCAGGGUGA